rnacentral:rRNA from 1 species
UACAGAGACUGCAAGCGUUAUUCGGCUUCAUUUUUCGUAAAGGGUGCGCAGGCGGCCAAGUGUGUCAGGUGUGAAAUCCCGAGGCUUAACCUCGGAACUGCGCCUGAAACUACUUGGCUAGAGUACUGGAGAGGGUAACGGAAUUCACGGUGUAGCAGUGAAAUGCGUAGAUAUCGUGAGGAACACCAGAGGCGAAGGCGGUUACCUGGACAGUUACUGACGCUCAGGCACGAAAGCGUGGGGAGCAAACAGG